UCUUCAUAUUUAGUGUAAAUCCAAACAGCAACGCUCCUGAGUUUGUGUCCCACGUCACCUUCAGUCCACUCAGAGCAGAGGAAUCAUUUCCAUAGAGAGGAGGCUUUGCAUCGUCAGCUGAUCCUCCACUGAACUGAGAAGCUUUAUAGUCCUGUGACUCCAACUCUGCAGGACUCAGACCCGUCAGUCGACCACAACCACCAUGACUCUCAUCACCCUCCUCAUCUGGACGCUGGCCUGCUGCAGCUUCACAGGAUGCAGCGGCCAGGUGACUGUGACUCAGCCUCCAGUCGUGACAUUUACUCCAGGAUCCACUGUCACUCUGACCUGUAAAACCAACCCCAGUGUUUAUAACAAUGGUAUUUAUGAUUUUAUGUCCUGGUACCAGCAGAAACCUGGACAGGCUCCACAGCUCCUAAUAUUCUGGGUGGAUAAUGAACAAUCAGGAACACUAGCUCGGUUUAGUGGCAGUGGAAGCAGCUCUGACUUCUCUUUAACCAUCAGUGGAGUUCAGAGUGAAGAUGCAGCAGUUUACUACUGUCAGAGCUUCCAUGUAGUAAGCGGAGCACAUGUGUGGACUUUCGGUGGAGGAACCAAACUCGACAAAGACUUGGGUGUGGUGCGGCCCACCCUGACCCUCCUCCCCCCCUCCAGUGAAGAGCUGAAGCAGGGCACUGCCACUCUGGUGUGUAUGGCCAGCGGGGGCUUCCCCUCAGCCUGGAGCCUGGGCUGGAAGGUGGGGGGCAGCAGCAGGUCCUCAGGGGUGUCUCACAGCCUGGGGGUCCUGGGGGGGGCUGGCCACUACAGCUGGAGCAGCACCUUGAGCCUCCCUGCAGAUCAGUGGAGGAAGGCGGGCUCAGUGAGCUGUGAGGCCAGUCUGGACGGACAGAGCCCUGUCACUCAAACCCUGGACCCUGACCUCUGCUCGGAGUAGAGAGACGACCGGAUGGAGUCAUUGUGCUCUACUGUGGGUCCGUUUGAUUUACAUGUGUUCUACUGCAGCUCUGCAUGUCUUCAUGUCUUUUCUUCAACUCAUUAUGACAGUCCAAUGCUGUAUUGUGCUACUUUUGAAACAAGAAUAAAUAUUUCAUGUUCUCAUGUCAUUUGUUUUUCACAUUUCUAAUUUUACUUCACUAAAAUAAAAUAUAUCAUCACCAA